CGGCUGCAAAGCGUUUUUCUGCAGGCUGUUUUCCCAGGUUCCCUCGGCCUGUACCUCGCGCACUCCUCUUGCUCCAGGUCCUUCAGUCUCCGCUCGUCUCACCGUAGGCUGUGACGACAUGAGCAACAAAGAAGGAUCAGGAGGGUUCAGGAAAAGGAAGCAUGACAAUUUCCCACAUAACCAAAGAAGAGAAGGGAAGGAUGUUAAUUCAUCUUCACCCGUGAUGUUGGCCUUUAAAUCAUUUCAGCAGGAACUUGAUGCAAGGCAUGACAAAUAUGAGAGACUUGUGAAACUUAGUCGGGAUAUAACUGUUGAAAGUAAAAGGACAAUUUUUCUCCUCCAUAGGAUUACAAGUGCUCCUGAUAUGGAAGAUAUAUUGACUGAAUCAGAAAUUAAAUUGGAUGGUGUCAGACAAAAGAUAUUCCAGGUAGCCCAAGAGCUAUCAGGGGAAGAUAUGCAUCAGUUCCAUCGAGCCAUUACUACAGGACUACAGGAAUAUGUGGAAGCUGUCUCUUUUCAACACUUCAUCAAAACACGAUCAUUAAUUAGUAUGGAUGAAAUUAAUAAACAAUUGAUAUUUACGACUGAAGACAAUGGGAAAGAAAAUAAAACUAUGAGGAAACUGAGGUUUAGAGAGAUGAAAUAACUUGCCCAAGGGCAUACACCUUAUGAAGCAAGGUCCUGGAAGAGGUGGGAGGAGAUGGGUCAAGGUCAUUUGGAAGAGUUAACCUCAAACAAGAGGAGGGACAACUCAUCAUCUGAGACUGGAGGAUAGAAGCCCUCCUCUGAUGCACAGGAUAAGCAGUUUGGUACUUGGAGACUGAGAGUCACACCUGUCGAUUACCUACUGGGAGUGGCUGACUUAACUGGAGAAUUGAUGCGGAUGUGUAUUAACAGUGUGGGGAAUGGGGACAUUGAUACCCCCUUUGAAGUGAGCCAGUUUUUACGUCAGGUUUAUGAUGGGUUUUCAUUCAUUGGCAACACUGGACCUUACGAGGUUUCUAAGAAGCUGUAUACCUUGAAACAAAGUUUGGCCAAAGUGGAGAAUGCUUGUUAUGCCUUGAAAGUCAGAGGGUCAGAAAUUCCAAAACAUAUGUUGGCAGAUGUGUUUUCAGUUAAAACAGAAAUGAUAGAUCAAGAAGAGGGCAUUUCUUAGAAUCUAACAUUACUCAGUUACUAAUUCUUUUGAGAACUCCUAAGAGACCAAUUUGUAAGACUUAUUUAGUAUUUCAUUUAACUUUAUUGUGGCUUUUACAUAGAAACAUAUUCAGUUGUACUUGUUUUAAAUUGUAUACAAGCUGUACAUAAAAUUAGCCAAAUGAAUCAUUUGUUAUAUCUUAUUCAUGAAAGUUUGCAUACAGAUGUUUGCAUAUAUGCCUUUUUGAAUUUUUGCUGGUUAACCUUUAUCAUUUAUCUUUGUAAUGUGAACAUGCUUCAGAGUGUACCUUUUGCCAUAACCUAUUUUAAUUUACUUUUUCUGAAGUUUGGAGUGAUAAUUUUUAGUGGAAGCAAUUUGUAAUUUAAGUUGGUGGUUUUAUUAUAUAUAGAAAAUAUUUUUUAGUUAAACUUCUGGACUUGAGCGUCCUGUUUAAAUUUCUUGUUAAUAUUGUGCCAAGCCUCAAAAAUAGGCUUAUUCCAUGGAACAAGAAUUAAAAAUGAAUAAGCUAUCAAUAUAUAAUUUAAGUACAAGUUUAGGCUGGGCGUGGUGGCUCACGCCUGUAAUCCCAGCACUUUGGGAGGCCGAGGUAGGCAGAUCACGAGGUCAAGAGAUCAAGACCAGCCUGACCAACGUGGUGAAACCUCUUCUCUACUAAAAAUACAAAAAUUAGCUGGAUGUGGUGGUAUGUGCCUGUAAUCGCAGCUACUUGGGAGGCUGAGGCAGGAGAAUCACUUGAACCCGGGAGGCAGAGGUUGCAGUGAGCCAAGAUUGCGCCACUGCACUCCAGCCUGGGUAACAGAGCAAGACUCCAUCUCAAAAAAAAAAAAAAAAAGAAAAAAGAAAGUACAAGUUUAUAAAGUAUUAUAGUGAAAAAUUCACAUUCUGGCUGAUUGUAGGCCAUUUAAAAUUUAUAUAAAACAACCUUCCAUAAAAAUUUGACAGGUGCCCAGAUGUUACUUUCUCCAUUUAUUAUUAUUAUUUUUUUAAUCACAGAAGGUCUGAUAGAGAAUUGGAGCUAAAUUAUAAUAUUUUUGUUGGUAAAGUUGAGUUAUGUACUUGUACAUACAAUGGAAAUGCUUUUAGUAGUGAUUAUUUAGCAAUUUUUGUUUUUGUUAUAUUAGGCAUGUUUGGAGGCUUUCCUAUUCUAGCAUUUAAAUUUAAAUUUUAUUAAAAUUAAAUAAUUUAAAUCUAGCAUUUAAAUUUAAAUAAUUUAAGUCUAGCAUUUACAUUUAAAUAAUUAUAAUGAAGUUUUGAAAUACUAAGUUAAUCCAGACCUUUAGUUGUCCCGUGGUGUUAAUAAAGUUGCCAAAGAAAAUGUAUUAUGAACAAUUCAGCAAUAAGACAAUUGUCAACACAGUUGAGAAUAACAAUGGUAAUCGUUAGUAAUAUUUAGAAUUGGAAUUUGCCUACUGAAAUAGUUAGAGAUGAUUACUUGUGAUGUGAAACUGAAUUGAGCAUGACAACCAGACAUUUCCAGUUGGUUUUGUAAGUUUUGAGAAUCUAGAUACUGGGUUUUAUUUUUUGAAAGAUUAGCUCUGUUUGUAAGGGCUGAUUCCUUGAAAAUGUAAUUUUCCAGAAAAACACCUAAAGAAAAUAAAACAUGGACAUGCCUAGUAAA